UGAGGAAUAUUGGGCAAUGCCCGAAAGGGUGACCCAGCAACGCCGCGUGGAGGACGACAGCCGUAAGGUUGUAAACUCCUGUUCGAGGGGACGAAUAUCCGUCGUUUGCAAAGGCGACGGCUUGACGGUACCCUCAGAGAAAGCCCCGGCUAACUACGUGCCAGCAGCCGCGGUAAUACGUAGGGGGCAAACGUUGUCCGGAUUUACUGGGUGUAAAGGGCGCGCAGGCGGGUCGGCCAGUCAGAGGUGAAAGCCCACAGCUUAACUGUGGAACUGCCUUUGAUACUGUCGAUCUUGAGUGCGGGAGAGAGAAGCGGAAUUCCAGGUGUAGUGGUGAAAUACGUAGAUAUCUGGAAGAACACCGGUUGCGAAGGCGGCUUCUUGGACCGACACUGACGCUGAGGCGCGAAAGCGUGGGGAGCGAACA
rnacentral:rRNA from 1 species